UCGUUUCUUCCCCGGAAGGUAUCAGAAUCAGAGGUUCCUACUACUUUUUUUUUUUUUUUUUUUUUUUGCAGGAUCAACCUUGAUUCCUCUUUCGUUCGCAACAUGCCUCGGCAGCUUGCUGGACAGCACUCCAUAAGUGCGCUAAUUCGAACUCAACAGUAUGAGUUAUCUCUACCUGUCAAACAACUUGAUCCAUCGGAUGCCCCUCUUCUGCUUGGGACUUUGCCAUCAUGUCAUCAACAUGGCAUUUGCUUUCACGAUGAAUCAUAU
rnacentral:lncRNA from 1 species